CAGAGAGUGUGUGCCAGCAGCCGCGGUAAUACGUAUGGUGCAAGCGUUAUCCGGAUUUACUGGGUGUAAAGGGAGCGCAGGCGGUGCGGCAAGUCUGAUGUGAAAGCCCGGGGCUCAACCCCGGUACUGCAUUGGAAACUGUCGUACUAGAGUGUCGGAGGGGUAAGCGGAAUUCCUAGUGUAGCGGUGAAAUGCGUAGAUAUUAGGAGGAACACCAGUGGCGAAGGCGGCUUACUGGACGAUAACUGACGCUGAGGCUCGAAAGCGUGGGGAGCAAACAGG
rnacentral:rRNA from 1 species